rnacentral:rRNA from 1 species
GACGAACGCUGGCGGCGUGCCUAACACAUGCAAGUCGAACGAAGCAUUUGAUUGGAAGUUUUCGGAUGGAAGAUGAGAUGACUGAGUGGCGGACGGGUGAGUAACGCGUGGGUAACCUGCCCCAUACAGGGGGAUAACAGUUAGAAAUGACUGCUAAUACCGCAUAAGCGCACGAGGAUGCGUGUUCUUGUGUGAAAAACUGAGGUGGUAUGGGAUGGACCCGCGUCUGAUUAGCUAGUUGGCAGGGUAAAGGCCUACCAAGGCGACGAUCAGUAGCCGGCCUGAGAGGGGGGACGGCCACAUUGGGACUGAGACACGGCCCAAACUCCUACGGGAGGCAGCAGUGGGGAAUAUUGCACAAUGGGGGAAACCCUGAUGAAGCGACGCCGCGUGAGCGAAGAAGUAUUUCGGUAUGUAAAGCUCUAUCAGCAGGGAAGAAAAUGACGGUACCUGACUAAGAAGCUCCGGCUAAAUACGUGCCAGCAGCCGCCGUAAAAC